rnacentral:lncRNA from 1 species
AGGAAUUAUGGUAGACCUGAGCAUAUUGCAUGUAGGAAAGCACUGCGUUACACAUAUACCCAAGACAACAUGUCACAAGGUAAUACCUUGAUUUUAUUUUGCAGCCUACUUGUACACUGGGAAAUAAUGCUGUGACUGCAGUCUUCAAAGGCAACAGGUGAAUUUAAUACAUCUGUGGUAAGGGACUGACAAUUCUGUUCCUUGUGAUGAGGUGCAUUUCCUUCAAGCUGUGCUUCAAGAACAUGUGACUGGAAAGAUGGUGAAAUGGCUGGAGACUUAACUGGUGAAGUUUCUCCUUGUAGUCAUCUCUGGCAUCAUUCUGGUUUUGCCCUCCAUACUCACAUGGCACCUGAGACAAGUGUAUGGAUCUGCACUGACUGCUGGGGAAGCACUGGUGUGCAGCUGUGGCUGUAUCCUCCCUGCUCCGCAUAGAGCUUUGCCUGACUCCAAACGUGGGGACCUUGUGUGACUGGAGGGAAGAGGCAAGGUGCUGGCCCCAGAGCCAGGCUGAGAAAUCAGCAGGUGCUGAACUGGGUUUCCCUGCCUGUGUCAGGCAGUUCAGCUGUCCACAGCUCUGUGCACUGCUUUUCACUUUGAAGACAGUUCUUCAGAAACCCUGAAGACUGAAACAUUCAGGGCAUCCCAAGUACCUCUCUGCUUUUGUGUGGAUUCCCAGCCUUGGACUACUGAGAGUGGCAAUGAUUCAUUUUUUAAAUAUGGAAAUCACAAUUACUGUCAAAAUGUAGGAAGUGUCAUUGAAUUUUCUCUGGAAGACUUUCCCUGGUGAAAAACCAGGAUUGAAGCUAAUAGUGCUAAUGGCUCUUAAACAGCUCUUGAUCCUUUUGAAUUAAUUACCAGGGGUGAAAGUUGCUGAGUUACUCGUGAGUCCAUAGAAGUUGACAACUAUUCUCUUGAAAGCAUAAAGGAUGAAUAUCAUUUUGGUACAGUGAGAUGUUAAUGUUUUCUUUCACAGUUGAUGGGGACCUAAAAUGAGGAAACAAGCAAUGUCCCUGUUGACUACAGAUUAUAAAAAUUCAAUGCAGAAUCUGGUAUCUCCAGCUGUAACCCAAGGUGGAUAAUAUUUUGAAAUAAAAUUUACCACUGUGUUUUUACA